UGAACGCUAGCGGCAGGCUUAAUACAUGCAAGUCGAGGGGCAGCGGGUGUAGCAAUACAUGCCGGCGACCGGCGCACGGGUGCGUAACGCGUAUGCAACCUACCUUUAACUGGAAGAUAGCCCCGAGAAAUCGGGAUUAAUAUUCCAUAACAUUGCGAAAAGGCAUCUUUUUGCAAUUAAAGCUCCGGCGGUUUUAGAUGGGCAUGCGUGACAUUAGCUAGUUGGUGAGGUGACGGCUCACCAAGGCUACGAUGUCUAGGGGUUCUGAGAGGAUUUUCCCCCACACUGGUACUGAGACACGGACCAGACUCCUACGGGAGGCAGCAGUAAGGAAUAUUGGUCAAUGGACGCAAGUCUGAACCAGCCAUGCCGCGUGAAGGAUGACGGCCCUAUGGGUUGUAAACUUCCUUUGUACGGGGAAAAACCCCUGAUCGUGUAUCAGGGCUGAUGGUACCGUAAGAAUAAGGAUCGGCUAACUCCGU
rnacentral:rRNA from 1 species